UACGUAGGUGGCAAGCGUUGUCCGGAAUUAUUGGGCGUAAAGGGCGCGUAGGCGGCCCUCUUUGUCGCGUGUGAAAGCCCCGGGCUCAACCUGGGAACGGCGCGCGAAACGGGGGGGCUGGAGUUCGGGAGAGGAGCGUGGAAUUCCCAGUGUAGAGGUGAAAUUCGUAGAUAUUGGGAAGAACACCGGUGGCGAAGGCGGCGCUCUGGACCGAGACUGACGCUGAGGCGCGAAAGCGUGGGGAGCAAACAGG
rnacentral:rRNA from 1 species